AGAGACAAUUAAUCACUUACCUUUGAUGAUCUUCAUAUGGUUGCACUCAGAAGACAUUAAUUUAUUCAAUAAAUGUUCCUUUUGUUCGAUCAAGUUUCUCUUUAUAUCCGAAAACCUCCGUUUUGUUUGCGCGUUUUCUUCAGUAAUCCACAGCCUCAAACGCAGUCACAACAGGCAGACGACAAAUCCAAAUUCUAUCCGUAAAGUUCAUAGAAACAUGUCAAAUGAUGUUUAUAUUCAAUCCUCAGGUUGUUUUUAGCCUAAAUAAUCGAUAAUAUUUCAACCGGACAAUAACGUCGUCAAUAUAAAAGGUAAACAAGAAAGGCACUCUCUCGGUCGCACGCAUGAAAAAGCUCUUUGACACAGCAGGGUCCACUCAUUCAGACUGCUCUUACUCCCUCAUUUUUCAGAAUACAAGCCUGAAACAAUUUUUAAAGACUGUUGACAUCUACUGGAAGGCAUAGGAACUGCAAUUUGAGUCCUAAGUCAAUGGAUACUGUAAUGGCAUUGAAUAGAAAACUACAUAACAAAAACAAAAAAUACUUCCUGAAUGGAUUUAUAUUUAUAGUAUAACAGAACUCAUAUGGCAGGCAAAAACCUGAGAAAAAUUCAACCAGGAAGUGGGAAAUCUGAGGUUUAUAGUUUUUCAAGCGAUUGCCUAUCCAAUAUCCAGUGUAAAUGGGGUCAGAUUGCACUUUCUAAGGCUUCCACUAGAUGUCAACAGUCUUUAGAACGUUGUUUCAGGCUUAUAUUGUGAAAGGGUGGCGAAUAAGAGCUGUUUCAACCAGGGGUCUGGUUGAAAGCCUUUAGUUUAGUCACGCACGGCCGAGUUGUCCGGUUGGAAUAUUAUUGAAGAUUUAUGAUAAAAACAUCCUAAGGAUUGAUUAUAUACAUCGUUUGACAUGUUUCUACGAACUGUAAUGGAACUUUUGUGACUUUGUCUGUACUUAGUGCCCGCGCCUUGUGCAUUUGAAUUACUGGACUAAACACGCAAACAAAAAGGAGGUAUUUGGACAUAAAUGUUGGACUUUAUAAAACAAAACAAACAUUUAUUGUGGAACUGGGAUUCCUGGGAGUGCAUUCGGAUGAAGAUCAUCAAAGGUAAGUGAAUAUUUAUAAUGCUAUUUCUGACUUUUGUUGACUCCACAACAUGGCGGGUAUCUGUAUGGCUUGUUUUGGUGGCUGAGCGCUGUACUCAGAUUAUCGCAUGAUGUGCUUUCGGCGAAAAGCUUUUUUGAAAUCUGACACAGUGGUUGCAUUAAGGAGAAGUUUCUUUAAAACUAUGCAUAACACUUGUAUUUUCAUCAACGUUUAUGAUGAGUAUUUCUGUAAAUUGAUGUGGCUCUCUGCAAAAUCACCGGAUGUUUUGGAGGCAAAACAUUACUGAACAUAACGUGCCAAUGUAAACUGAGAUUUUUGUAUAUAAAUAUGAACUUUAUCGAACAAAACAUACAUGAAGUCCUAUGAGUGCCAUCUGAUGAUCAUCAUCAAAGGUUAGGGAUUAAUUUUAUCUCUAUUUUUGC
ensembl:lncRNA